rnacentral:rRNA from 1 species
ACAGAGGGUGCGAGCGUUAAUCGGAAUUACUGGGCGUAAAGCGCGCGUAGACGGUUUGGUAAGUCAGAUGUGAAAUCCCCGGGCUCAACCUGGGAACUGCAUUUGAUACUGCCUGGCUAGAGUAUCGAAGAGGGAAGUGGAAUUUCCGGUGUAGCGGUGAAAUGCGUAGAUAUCGGAAGGAACACCAGUGGCGAAAGCGACUUCCUGGUCGAAUACUGACGUUCAUGUGCGAAAGCGUGGGGAGCAAACAGGAUUAGAUACCCUGGUAGUCCACGCCAUAAACGAUGACAACUAGAUGUUGGGAGGGUCUGCCUCUCGGUGUCGCAGCUAACGCGUUAAGUUGUCCGCCUGGGGAGUACGGCCGCAAGGUUG